GCUUACUGAUAUCUCUGCCACAGGCUUCAGGGUUUGUUUUUGCAAGUUUUGUGCACACUACGUUAAGCAAGCCAGUCUGUGUGUGACCACUAGAGUCAGACUCCUUUGGCUCUCUCCUGGUACCUGAUGGAAGCAAAUGGGGCUUGUCAAACUCCAGAGGUCCUGACAACUGCCGUAAAGUCAUGUACUUGUCCAGCAGACUGGGAAUGAUGAUGAGUUUGAAAAGGAAUCCAGAGACAGCCUGUGAAUUCCCCUGUCCAUGGCUGAACAAGGGUAAAUAAUAAGGCAGCACUCCGUUGUGGAUUCAAACCGAGAUUCCAGCUCUUAACAACGAUUGAAAGCACCCACGGGUGUGUGAAGAAGUCAGAGACAACAGCACAUCAAUUAUGAAGCCCUGUACUUUAUCUACUGCUGGCAAAAGAAAAGGUUAAUUAUCUAAAAAUAAAGCAACUCUAUGCUGGUGCAGGAGGGUGAACUGGAAGGAGGGCUGUUGAACAAACAAGAUAAGGUUGUGAUCUACAAUGUUAGAAGACGGAAGCUGAAUAAGAAACUGUCCAGUAUAACCUGUCACUCACAGGCAAAUUGCAGGGCUGAAAACUCUUGACUAAAAUAAAUGGACUACGUCAUGUCUUUUAAUAAGCCUUUUCUGACUCUGACAUUGAAACCAACAGGUGCCAAGGAGCCAUAGACACACUCAUACCCACUUAGUUACUCCAAGGCUGUACAUGUUCAAAUGACUUAUCACACCACAGCAAGCCAAAGACUUGAGGACUGAGAUCAGAGCUGAAUUUCUUUAAUGUUUCUGCUGCCAGUAACUUUUUGCAGAUGUGAAUUUGAAGGCACAUCUCUCCAAAGCACUGUUAUGUUUAAGGUUUUACUCUCCAUGAGCAUCCAUGAAUCACAAAAGGUCUGGGGAGUUGAGGAAGCACCAGAAAGCUUGGGGUGUGGUUCACCACUGCAGACACACAGGCAGGUAGCUGGCAUCCUUCAGUGUUCAUUAAGACUGCUGUACUAGAGAAAAACUCAGUAACCAUCAGUGGCUCUGCCAUAGGAACCCAAACAGGCAAGAUUACAUAAGAGCAAGAAAGAAGCUACACUCAUCUAGUUUACCUUCCUUAUUUUAAGGCCUGCCAGGCAGCCAAGGACCUCACAAGUAGGCACCAGCUACAUAUUUACGGCAGCAACUCCUCCAGCCUGGGAUAAUAGAUAAGAGAGUAUGAGAAAUAUGGAAUCAAACCCAUUGAGUGAAAAGGAAAAUCACCAAUAAGACCAAUAGCACUCUAACAGAGUCUAUAAUAUAGAUCUUAACUACAGCUUAGAGCCCGAAAUAUGUAGUCCUUAACGUUAUUUUUUUCUAAGUUCUUCAUUCCACUGGAACAAAAUUUUGAAGAUCCAUGAAUACUUUGGGUUUUAUAGCAGCUGAAAUUAUUGAAAAUCAUUACAGGUGUUUGCUGCAUUCUAUGCAACUCCCUCCAAGGAAAGAAGAGUGAAACACCAUCGCUGUAUAAAUAAAAGACCUGAGGCACUAAGAUGCUAAAAUUACUCAGUUAAUUGCACAUCACUAAUCUAUGGGGUUGGCAAACUUCUCAUCUCUUGUCUUUGAGCAGAUCCCUUAGUCAUGUAACAGUUCAUCUGAGUUAAAGAAGCUGCAUCAUAAAAGGAAAAAAAAUCCUGAACAACCCACUAGAAAAUGAUGAAUUUGGAUUAGCUUUUCAGGUCACUGUACUAAAUACUGCCACUAACAGUAUUAGAUUUACAU